rnacentral:rRNA from 1 species
UACGUAGGGGGCGAGCGUUAUCCGGAUUCACUGGGCGUAAAGGGCGCGUAGGCGGUUACGCAAGUCCGAUGUGAAAAGUCACGGCUCAACUGUGAUCGUGCAUCGGAUACUUCGUUGACUUGAGGUCGGUAGAGGCAAGUGGAACUAGCGGUGUAGCGGUGAAAUGCGCAGAUAUCGCUAGGAACGCCGGUGGCGAAGGCGACUUGCUGGGCCGUACCUGACGCUGAUGCGCGAAAGCUAGGGGAGCGAACCGG